rnacentral:lncRNA from 10 species
GAAAAAACCUGCGUGAAUUCUAAAAUGAGCCCCUGAGCCAUAGGGAAUAACAGGGGGCUUUUAGUGACUUGCAUAAGGAUUUUCACACUGUUUGCAAGUCAUUUAGGGCAGGUGGGCAUGCAUCAUGAUCCAUAAUACUCUUGUGCUCCCUCUUCCAGCCAUCUUUGGCCCCUUUACCUUCACAUCUUCCCUGCUGGAACCCAGCCUGGAAAAAUGGUGAGUUGAGCUCCCCCUGGGGGGCUCCCAUGGCUGUCCCCUCCUUCCAGAGGCAUAUAUGGGGGUAAAUGUGGGCCUGGAGAGAUCCUGGAACAUCGUGCUGUCUCAUGGAUGGCAGGCCUUCAGCGUCACUGAGCGUUCACACCUGAAACCAUUAAAGGUUAUUCGCCUUUUAAUUCUGUAUGGUUGCUCUCACUCCUUCCUUAGAGAAACCUCUGAUUUUCAUUUGCGAGACGCUCGGCUGAGCUUGUCAUACCCUAAAAGGUGAUUUCAGUUCUCCGAUGCCAAAGAACCUCUUCCGCUAAUCAAAACACAGCUGCAGAGGCCUGUGUGAUCUGCUAAUGGGCACCCCAACUCUGGGGUAUGUCUGUCUGUACCUGGGAAAAUAGAUAUAAUUAGGAUAACAGAUAUCAUAUGUAUAUGCAAAUGCAGCAGGUAAAAAUGACUAGAAAUGGCUGGAGUUUGCCAAAUCCCAUCAGACCAACUAUGUAGCUUAACCAGACGCUAACACCAUCACCACCAGGCCUUCCCCAGUACCAGCCCUGGUGCCCUUGCUUCAUCUUCUUUUCUCCACCGUGCUGGAACCCUCAUGCAAGUUAUUUUUAUUUCUAUUUUUUUAUAGAUAGGGUCUCACUCUGUUGCCCAGACUGGAGUGCAGUGGCACAAUCAUGGUUCACUGCAGCCUCAAACUCCUGGGUUCAAGUGAUCCUCCCGCCUCAGGCUCCUGAGUAGCUGGGACUACAGGCCUGCACCACCAUGCCCAGCUAAUCUUUAAAUUUUCUGUAGAGACAAGGUCUUGCCAUGUUGCCCAGGCUGGUCUUGAACCCCUGGCCUCAAGCAAUCCUCGCACCUCAGCCUCUCAAUGUGUUGGGAUUGCCUAUUUUUAUUUUUUAAUAUAACAAUAGAUCCCCAUAGUUUUCUGAAGAGGCUCUUUCAAGAGCUUCAGGUCUUAUGAGGCUGCAGGGAUCCUAGCAUCUGAGAAGCCAGUGGGGGAAAGAUGGACAAUAGAGAGGGCCUCUUCAGUGUUUUUCCUUUAAUGAGGGUUUGAUCCCCUCAAUGACAGCAUCAGGAUUGGAGAGGACCCAGUGCAUCAUUACCAAGCCCAAGUUGCCUUUGCAAAGAGAACCACCCCAUAAGGAUGAGAACCACCCCAAACCUUCUUGUCUGGAGUCAGAAGGCUCAGGCUGAAAUUCUGUUUCUGCCUCUUCCUUGUGGUGUGCACUUAGGCAAGUGACUUACCUCUCUGUGUGUUGUGUUCUUCACCCUAAAUGGGCACAAUAACAGCACUCACCUCAAACGGCCU